rnacentral:rRNA from 1 species
CGCCGCGUGAGUGAUGAAGGUUUUCGGAUCGUAAAACUCUGUUGUAAGGGAAGAACAAGUACGUUAGGAAAUGAACGUACCUUGACGGUACCUUAUUAGAAAGCCACGGCUAACUACGUGCCAGCAGCCGCGGUAAUACGUAGGUGGCAAGCGUUGUCCGGAUUUAUUGGGCGUAAAGCGCGCGCAGGUGGUUUCUUAAGUCUGAUGUGAAAGCCCACGGCUCAACCGUGGAGGGUCAUUGGAAACUGGGAGACUUGAGUGCAGAAGAGGAAAGUGGAAUUCCAAGUGUAGCGGUGAAAUGCGUAGAGAUUUGGAGGAACACCAGUGGCGAAGGCGACUUUCUGGUCUGUAACUGACGCUGAGGCGCGAAAGCAUGGGGAGCAAACAGGAUUAGAUACCCUGGUAGUCCAUGCCGUAAACGAUGAGUGCUAAGUGUUAGGGGGUUUCCGCCCCUUAGUGCUGCAGCUAACGCAUUAAGCACUCCGCCUGGGGAGUACGACCGCAAGGUUGAAACUCAAAGGAAUUGACGGGGGCCCGCACAAGCGGUGGAGCAUGUGGUUUAAUUCGAAGCAACGCGAAGAACCUUACCAGGUCUUGACAUCCCAAUGACCGCUCUAGAGAUAGAGUUUUCCCUUCGGGGACAUUGGUGACAGGUGGUGCAUGGUUGUCGUCAGCUCGUGUCGUGAGAUGUUGGGUUAAGUCCCGCAACGAGCGCAACCCUUAAUCUUAGUU